rnacentral:rRNA from 1 species
GAUGAACGCUGGCGGCGUGCCUAAUACAUGCAAGUCGAGCGAACAGACGAGGAGCUUGCUCCUCUGACGUUAGCGGCGGACGGGUGAGUAACACGUGGAUAACCUACCUAUAAGACUGGGAUAACUUCGGGAAACCGGAGCUAAUACCGGAUAAUAUAUUGAACCGCAUGGUUCAAUAGUGAAAGACGGUUUUGCUGUCACUUAUAGAUGGAUCCGCGCCGCAUUAGCUAGUUGGUAAGGUGACGGCUUACCAAGGCAACGAUGCGUAGCCGACCUGAGAGGGUGAUCGGCCACACUGGAACUGAGACACGGUCCAGACUCCUACGGGAGGCAGCAGUAGGGAAUCUUCCGCAAUGGGCGAAAGCCUGACGGAGCAACGUCGCGUGAGUGAUGAAGGUCUUCGGAUCGUAAAACUCUGUUAUUAGGGAAGAACAAAUGUGUAAGUAACUAUGCACGUCUUGACGGUACCUAAUCAGAAAGCCACGGCUAACUACGUG